ACAUGUAGGCCGCUGAUGCUUUUGGCUAAGAGCAAGUGUAGUAUCUGUUCUUAUAAGUUUAAUAUCUGAUAGGCUCCCUACCUGGGGUCCAUAUAUUAAAUGGAUUUUUAGAAAAUGGAGAUGGGAAAAGAGCUUGCUCUGUCCACUCCACGCUUUGACCAAGUAUUGAAGUACUUCCAGGACCGGUGCACCUUUC